UACGAAGGGGGCUAGCGUUGCUCGGAAUCACUGGGCGUAAAGCGCACGUAGGCGGCUUUUUAAGUCAGAGGUGAAAUCCUGGAGCUCAACUCCAGAACUGCCUUUGAUACUGGAGAGCUUGAGUCCGGGAGAGGUGAGUGGAGCUGCGAGUGUAGAGGUGAAAUUCGUAGAUAUUCGCAGGAACACCAGUGGCGAAGGCGGCUCACUGGCCCGGUACUGACGCUGAGGUGCGAAAGCGUGGGGAGCAAACAGG
rnacentral:rRNA from 1 species